UUUAUUUUCACAUUUAAGAAAUUAAAUUUGAGAUAUUAUAUUUUCUUGAAUUCAUUUAAUUUUAUCUCACUUUUAUUGUAAUUUAAGUUGAUUGUUAAAUAAUAUAAAUAUAUAUUUAAUUAAUAAAAUAUUUUUCAGAAUUAAUUUUUAUAUUAUGCAUUAAAGUGAAUUGCCAAUUUUACCCUUAGAAAUUUAAUUAUCAAUUUAAUAUAUAUAUAUACACAUCAGUCUCUAUAUGUAUUAUAAGUGUAUAAAAUAUUACAAUGGGAAUUGUAGCAAUUUUUCUACACCUUUUAGGUACCUAACAGUAAUAAUUUUAAAAAGAAACAAAAUUGCAUUUUGGCCCCUCUCCCCUGCCUCUAUUCUCUCUCCCCCACAUACCGACGCCACGACCCCUUUCUUCUUUCCGUUCACCCAACUCUGGUCACCAUUCAUCACUAAAUUCCUACCACAACCCUUUCUUGGUGUCGCCAGCUCAGCCCACCAUCAGUUGCACCGAAAAUGGCCUUUUUCCAUGAGCAAAGAACUUGAAUAGUUAGUUUUCUCCCUCUAAUUGGCUACCACCUUCGAACCAACUGUUUCCUGACCUCAAAUGGGCAAUCAUACCCUAAUAAUGAGUUCCCCCUGUUGAGAAAACUUAGGACAGUGAAGCUCAGCCCCGAUUUCCUCCGUUUCACUGUUGAUCAAGCUUGCCGGCACCGAACUUCAAACGGCGAUCUAGAACUUUUGGCCACUUUUUGGCAAACACUUUUGUAUGAUUGCGGGCUUUCCAUUGGUGUGCUCGGAUUGAAUUUUCAUCACGAUCAAAAAUUUUCCGGCGACCAGGCCUGGUGACCUCGGGAUGUGUGCCGACAGAUAAAAUUUUGAUUUAUGUUUCUGACCGUUCAUGUGAUUGUUCCAUUUUAUUAGCUCGGUGAAAUGAAUUUCAAACUUAAACUUAUUUAUUUAUAUUUCAG
rnacentral:lncRNA from 1 species